UGCGUAGGCGGUUCUCUAAGUCGGAUGUGAAAACUCUGGGCUCAACCCAGAGCCUGCAUCCGAAACUGGAGGACUAGGGUGCUGGAGGGGAAAGCGGAAUUCCUGGUGUAGCGGUGAAAUGCGUAGAUAUCAGGAGGAACACCGGUGGCGAAGGCGGCUUUCUGGACAGUAACCGACGCUGAGGCACGAAAGCUAGGGGAGCAAACA
rnacentral:rRNA from 1 species